rnacentral:rRNA from 1 species
UGAUNACUCGUUUUUGGGUUUAAUGAUUCAGAGACUAAGCGAAAGUGAUAAGUAAUCCACCUGGGGAGUACGUUCGCAAGAAUGAAACUCAAAGGAAUUGACGGGGGCCCGCACAAGCGGUGGAGCAUGUGGUUUAAUUCGAUGAUACGCGAGGAACCUUACCAAGACUUAAAUGGGAAAUGACAGAUUUAGAAAUAGAUCCUUCUUCGGACAUUUUUCAAGGUGCUGCAUGGUUGUCGUCAGCUCGUGCCGUGAGGUGUUAGGUUAAGUCCUGCAACGAGCGCAACCCCUGUCACUAGUUGCUAACAUUAAGUUGAGGACUCUAGUGAGACUGCCUACGCAAGUAGAGAGGAAGGUGGGGAUGACGUCAAAUCAUCACGGCCCUUACGUCUUGGGCCACACACGUGCUACAAUGGCCGGUACAGAGGGCAGCUACCUAGUGAUAGGAUGCAAAUCUCGAAAGCCGGUCUCAGUUCGGAUUGGAGUCUGCAACUCGACUCUAUGAAGCUGGAAUCGCUAGUAAUCGCGCAUCAGCCAUGGCGCGGUGAAUACGUUCCCGGGA